rnacentral:rRNA from 1 species
ACGAGUAGGAGGGCCACUGCAGUGAGACUCGAAGCCUAGGGCGCAGGCCUGGGUGGAGCUGCCGCAGGUGCAGAUCUUGGUGGUCGUAGCAAAUAUUCAAAAGAGCACUUUGAAGGUCCAAGUGGAGAAGGGUUCCAUGUGAACAGCAGUUGAAC